CAAUUUAUUUCCUGAAGUAACUAUAAGGAAGUUACAUUUCUAAGACGUUAUUCACUUGAUUUCAAAUUGUAAUCUUUCAAAACUCAGCUCAAGGAUGGCUUCUGUCAUAAAGCCUUGAAACCAGCUACUCCAGGAACCAGCCAACCAUUACAUCUUCCCUGGGUUCAUAAACCUCUCCACCUUCGGAGUAUCAAGAACUGUGAAGGAUCAGAGAUUUCACCUACCUGCAAGUUUACAGCUUAACCUGCCACAGUUUCAUGGAUACUGGUAGAAGAUAUGAGACUCCUGGGUCAAAGACAAAGGACUUUAUUACUCAUGGCAUGAUAAUCUCCUACUACUUUUUUACUGUUUAAAGUCCUUGAGUCUAUGAACUCACAUUUUAAAGUGGGAAAAAAAUGACUCAAAGAGAAUUUAAUGAGCAGAUUAAAUGGA